GACAGCUGGGCUCAAUGGCACAUGCCUGUGUGAUCCCAGUGACUCAAGAGGCAGAGGCAGGAGGCUUGCAAAUUCCAGGCCAGCCUCAGCAAGAGAAAUCAUGUCUCAAAAUAAAAAACAGAUAGGACUAGGGAAGUGGCUCAGUGAUUAAGAGCCCCUGGGUUCAAUCCCUGGUACCCUCCCCCAAAAAAAGUUUGAAACAUAGUUAAAUUAGCAACAAUAAACCUUGUAAAUUCCCUCUUGGAAGUUUCUACUUAAUCCUAGGGCAUCCUCAGAGGGAGAGAACAUAAUGUCAAAAGUAAAUUUUGCUAACCUGUUGAUCAUUCUAGAUGCAGAAACAUUGAAUAAGCACAUAUCCAAAGGCUUUAUAUGCCAGAUGCUAUGCCAGGACCCUGCCUCUGAGAGGCCAGUGGGGGAAGAUAGUCUCCAAACUAGUUUCCACAACAUUGUACAAAAGUACAAUGUGCUGUGGGAAACAAGAAGUUUGGAGGAAAUCUGGAAUAGUCAGGGUUUCAUCCAGCUGAUGUUUAUGCUGAGUCUCAAAAUGGGAACUGUCCCCAAAAAAAGGACAACAAGGGGAGAGGAUGCACUGUGGACAAUGAAAACGUGGGCAGAGCAAUGAAUUGUGAAAGGGCUUGGCCUGUUUAUGGGUACAUGGAAAGAGCAGGGAGGCUAAAAAUCAGGAUGUCUCUUUGGAAGUGAGGAAGAUGAGAGGUUGCAAGGUACCUGGCCCACUAAGCCAAGAACUUUGGAGUCUACCUGGUAGGCAGAGGUAGACAACAGGGAGACAAGCAAGUGGGGCUUUUGUAAGGGAAGUGAUAGGCUUGUGGUAGACCAAAAGCAGCUUACAUGGUAUAACAUGUGACAGGGAAAUCCGAAUACUGCAAAUAAAUCACCUUUCCAACUUUGUUUAAACAGACUCACCUUUUUUAUUUAUUAUUAUUAUUUUUGUCUUGAAAAGUCCUGGUUAAAAGGCAAAUCUUCCUGGAAAGUUACUACCUUGGGGAUUACCAGCCCUUACCUUUGUGUUGUUUGUGACAGCCUGCUGAGAGAAAGGCUCUGAUGGAACUUAGGCCCAGGAAGAAGAAAGAGAGAAAGGCCAGAAAGAGGACAUAUGGAAGCACUUUUGUUUUGAAUAUACCAUGUUGUUCUUGCUGCCCAAAAUGAGAUGCCAUUAUUGCCAGAAUUCCUAUCUUCAUCCCAGUGCUGGUGAAGUCAAAGAUAAAACCAAUCUACAGCUUCUACAAUAGCCAUCACUGAACUGCUUGCAGAACUUGCCUGGACACAUUGUGAGCUCACCUGUAUGCAUUGUGAACUAUCUGUUGGUGCAGCGACUUGUGGUAGUGUUGGGGUAUUUUUGCUGAUGAUGUCACCAGUGGUACAAUUUUUCAAAGGAGCCCUCAAUUGGCUUAAUGUCAUGGCAUUUUGCAUCCUCCUCUACUAGUGAUGGUCUAAAAUUUGGGGGCCAACAGAGGUGAGGCAAAGAACCUCACCCCCCCACUGGUGCAAAGGCCUAUCCACAAGUAUAGCUGUAUGCUGGACCGGUAGUCAGUGACGGGUAUGAUCCAAUUGCAGUGGUACCAACCUAAGACAGGAGGCUGACGCCUAGAAGUCAGUUCAUCCGAUGAUGGGUAAGGACCAUAUGUUGAAUUGGACUGCCUAACAGACACGGUCCCUAAGCCACAUGCUUGUUGUUUAAACAGAGAGGGGGAGAUGUUGAGAGCCACAGCCGAAGGGGCCCCAGCAAACUUCCAGCUGCCAGCAAACUUCCAGCUGCCGGCUGAUGAUUGGCUCACAGCGGCCCCAGCAACAUCUAGCUGAUUGGCUCCUCAGCCCCAGCAACAUCUAGCUGAUUGGCUCCUCUGCGGUGAUGCUCAUUGGACUGUUUCCCUGCCCUUUCAGACCACGGAGCUGCUCAUUGGGGGACUUUUUUGGCUCCGCCCACGUGACCCAGCCAAUCGGCCUCAAGAGCAGGAGGAUUGUGGGAGGUGGAGAGAAGCUUGUGUGGGAGAGAGAGGCUUGUGGAAAGCCGGUGGUGGCAGUUGAGGCUCUGAGGGUUUUUCCUGAGAGGCUGUUUUGUUUGGCGUGUGUGGUUCUAAAAAUAAAGUUAGUUUCUUUUGACAAGUGGCUCCUGAUUGUGCCCAGCCAGACUGCGGCACUGAACAACCAUGUAAACGCAGAGUAAAAACUUACUAAAUAUUUUAUUGAAUGAGAAAGAAAUAAUGCUGUGUCUCUACAAAGGAGGAUUAACUGUCUAAUUUUCAGGACCUACUGCACAAGGUUGUUCUAAUUCAUGUAGUUAUAUUCCUUAGAAGGGAAUAUGGAAGUGCUAUUUUUAAAUUUAUGAGUAUUGGUGCAAUUGAAAGGGAAUGGACAAAGAUGAGAGAAAGUUGUGUUUGCCAUACAAAGAUAAGCUUUUAUACGGACCUAAAGGAUAGCUGAGUCUUGUUAAUAUUCAACACAUUCUAGUAAUAAUAGCUCCCAAACUCAAAUGAUUAUCAAAGCCCUUUCAGUCUUCUGAGUUACAUCUUCAUUUGAAAAGCCUGGAUCCUUUCAGCUCUUGAGCUAUAGCUCACUUUGAACAACCCAGUAGUGUAAACUACUAUUAAGUUCUCCAUGAAAUAUCCUUAGGAGAAUUUUGUGGAAAGAAUAACUGUUUCUCUUUUUCUCAAAUGAUUAAUAAUUAUAUUCCUUUUGACAUUUUACAAGCUCACUUUAUUUCAUUCCAGAUCAACUCUCACAUAUUUAGCAUAUCUUAAUAUGGUUAUGUAAUUUUAAUGAUUUUUAUUUAACAUUCACAUUUUGUGGCACAAAACAACUUAGAUACAUGAUGUGUGAGGACCAGAACUUACUUUUUUCUUAUAUCUUCAAACCAAUUUAAAAAGAUGAUAACUUCCCAUGUUAUUUUGUGAAAACACCUUUUACAUCAAGAAUAACUGCUUGGGGCCAGCAAACACAUAAGCAUAUAUGCAAUAUACCCAAACAUUUGCCAAAUAGACUUAAAUGCAUUCUCAACACUCAAAUUCAAAUAUAUUUUUCAAGGUUUAACUCAAUGAACCCACAAAUAAUCAAGAUGUAUAAUAUAGAACACCAUACAAUUAUAGUCAUUAUCAGAGUAAAGCAGAUUGGACACUUAAUACAUAUUCCAUAUAUAGAAUCUUUUCAUCUUGUGAUUUCAACUCAUACCUCAAAAACAUUAAUUAAACUUUACAAUGUGGCCAGAUGAGGCAUAGUUAUUAUUGGCUCUCUUUUAACCAACCUAUUUAUAAAGGUAAAUAUCUGCAUAAAGAAAGAAUGCAAAUGAGGACUGGUUUUCCUAAUGUCCAUUUCUAUAAGCACCUCCCUAAAAAAGGCAGAGUACAAAAUGUUUUCCUCUUUUGAUCACAGGGAUUCCCCCAGGGUGUUAGGUUUUAGUUCUUCUCCAAACUUCUCAUGGCAGAUUUUCAGACAGACAGACAGACAUUCCUGGAAGGCUUGUUAUCCAGUGAGUGGGAUUUUCCUUAAAAAUGGGAGAGACAGCCAGGCUCUGUGGCACAUGCUGUAAUCCCAGCAAAUCUGAGGCUGAGGCAGAGGGAUAGCAAGUUCAAGGCCAGCCUCAGCAACUUAGCAAGACCCUGUCUCAAAAUUUUAAAAUAUUUUUUUAUAGGCCUGGGUGUGUAAGUAGCUUAAUGUAAAAUGCCCCUGGGUUGAUUGGGCUCAAUCCCCAGUUACUUAAUGUGUCAAGAUAAAAAGAACUGCUGGGUAAAAGGUAGUUGGUGUUUUGCUAUCAUUUUUUCUGAAGGACCAUCUUUAAAGCCUGGAAAUACAGACAGUAACCAAGCUGUAUUGAGAUAGUAUAUCAAAAUAAGGGUUUGUUAUGUGCUACCAACAGCAGUGGACUGUUAUGAGAUGGCUGAGGAAGUCAAACAUCAUUUUCCUAUCCUGAGGUUGUUUUAUAAAAAGGAACAAAUACUGAACCUAUGGUACUAAAUAAAAUGUGAACAUAA